rnacentral:lncRNA from 1 species
UGACCCGGAAACCUCCUAUACCUAGGUCUGCUUCUGGUGUUUGGGCACAUAGGCUAGUGGAAAGAUAUUUUGAAAGUAACACAAGUGUAGAUAAAUUGAGCAACAUGUUCCACUUCAUUUUAAAGUGACAUGGCUAUUAUCAACUUGUUUCAUUUCUGGGAACUAGAAGGUUUUCAUUUACAAGGCAAAAUCAUUAACAGAGGUAUUUCCCAUGUAUGACUGGAGUUGAUCCCUGUUGUAGCUUUAUUCUGCUUUUGACAUGUUUAUUAUUGUGAUAGUAAAAGUCAAGAAAUGCAGAAGCCUUGAAUGCAGACAGGCCAAAAUUAACUUCUAAUAUAGUCAGCUGAAAGAAACUGACCUCUGAGCCACUAUAAUCGUCAGAUGUAGAUAUUACCCAAGAAAGUAAACUUUGAAAGAUUUAAUGUCCUUAGAUGUCUCAUUGCAUUUUUUUCUGUGAUCCAAUCUUCUU